rnacentral:lncRNA from 1 species
UGGACCGAUGCCAUGCCUCAUGCGUUAAGAAAGAUGCAGGUUUGUGGGAAUGGUCCAUCUGGAUGAUAUAUGUCUGGUAUUCCUCAGCAUUUGACACUGCAUUGUUGAUUUGCAGUAACAUUAACAGUAAUAAAGAGAUCAUAUUGUAUAAACCUAUCUAGUUAGUUCUGGGCCCUAUGACAGCAUAGAUGGCAUAUGUAUACUAGGAGGUCUGGAGUUUUAUAUACUUGUACAUGAUAACUUCUAUGGUUCUGUGUACAAGAAAACAUCUUCCAUUAUGAUAAUAUUUCUUUAUAUAAUUGUAAAACGUUAUGUUCAAAGUCC